rnacentral:rRNA from 1 species
UACGUAGGGUGCGAGCGUUGUCCGGAAUUACUGGGCGUAAAGAGCUCGUAGGUGGUUCGUCGCGUUGUCCGUGAAAACUCACAACUCAAUUGUGGGCGUGCGGGCGAUACGGGCAGACUGGAGUACUGCAGGGGAGACUGGAAUUCCUGGUGUAGCGGUGGAAUGCGCAGAUAUCAGGAGGAACACCGGUGGCGAAGGCGGGUCUCUGGGCAGUAACUGACGCUGAGGAGCGAAAGCGUGGGGAGCGAACAGG